UACGUAGGGGGCUAGCGUUGUCCGGAAUCAUUGGGCGUAAAGAGCGUGUAGGCGGCCCGGUAAGUCCGCUGUGAAAGUCGGGGGCUCAACCCUCGAAUGCCGGUGGAUACUGUCGGGCUAGAGUGCGGAAGAGGCGAGUGGAAUUCCUGGUGUAGCGGUGAAAUGCGCAGAUAUCAGGAGGAACACCAAUUGCGAAGGCAGCUCGCUGGGACGUAACUGACGCUGAGGAGCGAAAGCGUGGGGAGCAAACAGG
rnacentral:rRNA from 1 species